rnacentral:rRNA from 1 species
GACGAACGCUGGCGGCGUGCUUAACACAUGCAAGUCGAACGGAAAGGCGCUGCUUUUGUGGGGUGCUCGAGUGGCGAACGGGUGAGUAACACGUGAGUAACCUGCCAUUUACGUUGGGAUAACUUCAUGAAACUGGGGCUAAUAACGGAUAGGAGCUCCUGCUGCAUGGUGGUAUUUGGAAAGAUUCGGCGGUUGGGGAUGGACUCGCGGCUUAUCAGCUUGUUGGUGGGGUAGUGGCUUAACAUGGCUUUGACGGGUGGCCGGCCGGAGAGGGUGACCGGCCACAUUGGGACUGAGAUCACGCCCAGACCCCUACGGGAGGGAGCAGUGGGGAAUAUUGCAAAAUGGGCGGAAGCCUGAUGCCGAACCGCCGCGUGCGGGAUGUGGACCUUCGGGUUGUAAAACGUUUUUGCAUGUGACGAAGCGUGAGUGACGGUAAUGGGUAAAGAAGCAACGGCUAACUACGUG